GAGAUUUAGAGGAUUUGAAGCUCUUUAUGUUUAAUGAAAUAGAAAGAUAUGCCUCUCAUAAGGAAUUGUGAAAUUAUACCAAUGAUUAUUGUUUAGGAUUCUCCCAUAUCCGGUAGAUUAUUUACAACUGAAGUUUACCCCUGAGAAAAAGACACAAUGAGGUCAUCGCAGUGAACAAGAGCAAUUGUAACCAGCAGCCAUUGUAGAUUGUUUCUCCAAUCAUGUAAUUAUUGGCGGGAGAAUAUGACAUUCAUAUCGUCUGCGCUAUAUCACCAUCAACUACCCGGACGUAAAGCAUCAUGUAUCCCAAGGGAUGUCUUUGAUUACAUACAACAGGAA
rnacentral:lncRNA from 1 species